GAUGAACGCUGGCGGCGUGCCUAAUACAUGCAAGUCGAGCGAACAGACGAGGAGCUUGCUCCUUUGACGUUAGCGGCGGACGGGUGAGUAACACGUGGGUAACCUACCUAUAAGACUGGGAUAACUUCGGGAAACCGGAGCUAAUACCGGAUAAUAUUUCGAACCGCAUGGUUCGAUAGUGAAAGAUGGCUUUGCUAUCACUUAUAGAUGGACCUGCGCCGUAUUAGCUAGUUGGUAAGGUAACGGCUUACCAAGGCAACGAUACGUAGCCGACCUGAGAGGGUGAUCGGCCACACUGGAACUGAGACACGGUCCAGACUCCUACGGGAGGCAGCAGUAGGGAAUCUUCCGCAAAGGGCGAAAGCCUGACGGAGCAACGCCGCGUGAGUGAUGAAGGUCUUCGGAUCGUAAAACUCUGUUAUUAGGGAAGAAUAAACGUGUAAGUAACUGUGCACGUCUUGACGGUACCUAAUCAGAAAGCCACGGCUAACUACGUG
rnacentral:rRNA from 1 species